CCCCGAUCUUCACCGAUCAAAGAAGAAGAACUCGAUCCUGCAUUUUCUGACGAUUCUGUGUGAGAAUCGUCCGGAAGAUCAGAUCCAGAUAAGUCAGGGGAGAAGAAGAAUCGGUGAGAUCCACCGUAUGAAUCAACCGGCGAUUCAGGUGAAACCACUCGUCCUCUGUGAUUCUUGCAAUCUCGACCUCCUCCUCCUCCUCCUCCUCCUACUACUUUCCUGUCGCUGAAAUCUCCAUCAUCUUUCAGGUACAACGACCGGAAAUUCUCGAAGAGAAAUCGGUCGAUAUCGGCAAGCGUAGCAGCGGCGUCUUCUUUGUUACCGACGGCGUCGACUUGCUUCCGAUCGAUGGCGAAGGAAAGCGUUUUUGGAUGCUUACAACCAUGGAGAAUCCAAC
rnacentral:lncRNA from 1 species